GGACCCGCACAAGCAGCGGAGCAUGUGGUUUAAUUCGAAGCAACGCGAAGAACCUUACCAGGGCUUGACAUCUCCCCGACCGGCGUGUAACGGCGCCUUCCCUUUUGGGCGGGGAUGACAGGUGGUGCAUGGUUGUCGUCAGCUCGUGUCGUGAGAUGUUGGGUUAAGUCCCGCAACGAGCGCAACCCUUGCCUUUAGUUGCCAUCGCGUAAUGGCGGGCACUCUAAAGGGACUGCCGGGGAUAACUCGGAGGAAGGUGGGGAUGACGUCAAAUCAUCAUGCCCCUUAUGUUCUGGGCUACACACGUGCUACAAUGGCCGGUACAAAAGGAAGCUAUACCGCGAGGUGGAGCAAAUCACCAAAACCGGUCCCACGUUCGGAUUGCAGGCUGAAACCCGCCUGCAUGAAGCCGGAGUUGCUAGUAAUCGUGAAUCAGAAUGUCA
rnacentral:rRNA from 1 species